rnacentral:rRNA from 1 species
CCUACGGGUGGCAGCAGUGAGGAAUAUUGGUCAAUGGUCGCGAGCCUGAACCAGCCAAGUAGCGUGAAGGAUGAAUGUCCUGCGGGUUGUAAACUUCUUUUAUAAAGGAAUAAAGUGAGGCACGCGUGCCUGUUUGUGUGUACUUGAUGAAUAAGGAUCGGCUAACUCCGUGCCCGCAGCCGCGGUAAUACGGAGGAUGCGAGCGUUAUCCGGAUUUAUUGGGUUUAAAGGGAGCGUAGGUGGGUUGUUAAGUCAGUUGUGAAAGUCUGCGGCUCAACCGUAAGACUGCAAUUGAUACUGGCAGCCUUGAGUACAGGUGAGGUAGGCGGAAUUCGUGGUGUAGCGGUGAAAUGCUUAGAUAUCACGAAGAACUCCGAUUGCGAAGGCAGCAUACUAAACUCCCACUGACAUUGAUGCUCGAAAGUGUGGGUAUCAAACAGGAUUAGAUACCCGAGUAGUC